GCCCAGGGGAUUCUCUCUUGCAAUGCUCUCAUUUUGUGAUCAUGGAAACCCAAAGUUUGGAGGUCAGUUACUUGCCCAAGGUCUACCAGCUGGUUAUAGAGCCCAGUUCCUGAGCCAGUGUCACUAUAGCAGGCUUUCAUCUGACACUUGGGAGUGAGGAGUCCAAUGAAUAGAUUAAUAACCAUAAUAAUAACUCUCAGUAGUUAGGCUCUUCUGAUAGUCCCCAAAUUCUUUAUAUUAUUUCACUUAUGCCUCCCUACAAUCCCAUGGUCAAUCCCAUGGUAGACAGAGGCGAGAUGUUUAUUUGUACAAGGUCACUAACCUUAAAUUGUCCAGAACCCAUGGUCUUAAGCAGUAACUCAAGCGCCCCGUGCUCAUGAGUAUUAUGAAGUCCUGUCAUGUCCAGGAUUUCACUACAGUCUUGCCCGCAGAAACGACAGCUACAUCCCUGUUGUACAGAUGAAGAAACUGAGGCGCAGAGAAUUCUCUUCUAGGGGAAGAGAUAAGUGACAGCAGUUAAUUGAAAAGAAUGUUUCCCAUUUUGCUUCUGUAACAUUUAACUCCUUGGCUUGUCCUUGCCUUCUGUUUCUGGUCAUUCUGGCAGUGAGCUAAGACCCUUAAUUGAAGCCCCAAGUCUUACCACAGAUUUCCCUCCGAAGUGCUCCUAAAUACGGAGAUGUGUUAACAAAUGGAGGAGAGAGGUUCUUGAACUUAAGAAGCACAGCUAACAUGUUUUGAGCAUGUAUGUGCCAGACACUGUGUUAAGCACUCAUACACAUGAAUGUUCUCAAUCCUUAACAACAGUUUCAUCAGGUAGAGACAUCUGUUUUACUACUCUCAUCCCCUUUCAUAGAUCCUGAAACAGAGGCUCAAGGUGGUUCAUUAACUUACCCAAGGUUACCCAGCCAGUAAGAAGUAUGCCUGAGGCUGCCUACCAGCAAGCUCACCGGAAGAAAUUCAUGUGCAUUUUGCCUUCUCAUUCCAUAACCAGUUCUUGUUUCUCUUAGUUUGUAAUGUGUUCACUUAUCUAAUGGUCAAGUAUUAACCUUUUCCCCGUAGAUUUCUGAGUAAAAUGUACAUUCUGGAAACUAGUGCAGUGGUUCAAUGGCUUCACGGGUCCCCAUACCAGAUUUGGGAAAAAGUGACUCCUUGCCUUCAAUUGGUCAACAAGUAUUCAAGUGCCAGCUGUGGUUUCUGAGCUGUAGGGAACAUGAAAGAUAGGAAAGAAGAUUUUAUGGCCUCAUGGAGCCUAAGAGGAAUAACAGUAAAACUGUAAUGCUCAGUGUAGAAUAGCUUACAGUUGCUCACAGGGCAAUAAGUGAAAGUCAACAUUGAGGGAGCUGGUCAAGGCUGGCAUAACAGGAAGACCACUCCAAGGAGGUGGACUUUGACCAGGUUUUGGAGCACAAGAAGGGUUGGGCAGGCUGACGGCCAGUGGUCUGCAGUUACAAAUAUUCCUGAAUUCUUAUGCAUCCGUUCCCCCUCCAGAAGUUCAGCUCCAUGAAUGCCAGGUCCUUCUGUUUCCUUCAUGCUGUAUUUCUAGCACUUAGAAUAAGUAUUUGUGGACUACCUGAAUGAAUCUAGUGACCUUGGGCUGGGCAGGAUUCUAAGUUGUACUAGACACAGCCUUUGGGGUUGGGUUAGAUCAGGGGUAACCUGCCCCGUUGUUUCCAGAGCCAGUCAGGUAAGGAAGAAGAGACCAUGAGAAUGAAUAAAGAUACUUUAUGUGUGUGUUGGGGGGUGGUGUGCAGUUUGCAUAGCUUGCAGCCUGGGGAUUUCAUGUCUGCCUCCUGGAAGACCAGUUGGGCAAGAUCCUUCCCUGGGCAACCUCAUCUGUGCUGUAAUCUAUGAGUGCCCUUCAAAGACGUGAGUCCAUGGAGGCCACAUCCAUUCAUUUAUUCAGCACCUGUCUUGAGUGGCUCCUAAGUACCCCUAUGAUGGACAGAGUGUUGAGGAUAGCUUUGAACAAGACAUCCACGUUCUCUUCCCUCUCAGUGAACUUAAAUUCUUGAGGCAAGAAACACAAGAGGAACAAAUCACUUAAAUGAAUAGCUCUGGCAGGACACGUGAAGAAAAUAACACGGGCUCAUGUUAUACAGAAUGACUAGGGCAGACUAAUUUAGGUGAGGGAGGCCUCUUGGCAAAGGGAUCUGCCAUCUCUUUUUCAAGAGGUACCCAAGUCAGGAUUUUUAUGUGAAAUGUCCACAUUUUUAAAUGGUGGCUCCAAGUGGUUGGUUGUUUUUUUUAAAGAAACAUACUGUAGGCCCAACAAAGCAUGAUGUGUCAGUUGGUCUCCAGGGCCCCGUUCCACCGCAGGAUGAUCUGCUGUCCCAGGCCUCCGGUCCUCUGAUGAUAGAGUAUCUAGGGCACUUUCUUUUAUGGUGGAUAGCCGCGUCAUGAGAAUGCGCCUCACAUGUUGUAAUAAACCAGGUCUUCUGCAAAGGCAGAGAGGGGAGAUAUUUUUCCACCGGGAUCAGGAAAGGCACAAUGACAGAGGUGUCCUUCCCGUAAGACCCAAAAGGGUGGGUGGCAGAAUCAUGACCAUCACAUGGCUGCCUUAGAGAUCAAGGAUUACUAGUGAGUCCUUGGACCACGCGGUGUGUAUAAGGCAACGGUAGAAGAUAAGGUCUGAAAGGUGUGUUGGAGCCAAACUGGGGGGUCUUCAUACCUGAUGCACAUGUUUUGUGGAAUGUGGAGAGGGACCUGCUGAGGAUUUUGAACUAGGGGAAUGACGCAUCAAUCACAGGUUUUAAGAGAAUUAAACUGUGGUGAUGGGCAAGGAGGAGUGGAGUCAGGGAGCCCAGUUUAGGAGGGAAUUGCAGCUAUUCGGGUGUGAGGUGAUAAUACUAAGGGGGUGAUGGGGUUUGGAUAGGAAGUGGCCAUUGUGCAAGAUGGUGGACAUAACAGGCUGGGGCCUCAGUGAAGGCCUUGCCCUGAAGGCAGAGUAGAGGUGGAAUUCUAUGAUCCCAUCAGGGCUUUGAUCCUCUGGCAUUGAGACAGUUCAGAAGCCUGCAGGAAGAGCUGGCUUGGGGGAGAUGAUAAACAUUUGUCUUAAAUGUGCAGUGGUUGAGGUGCUGGUGGGCGGGAGGUCAUCCACUAGGAAAUCAGGCCAGUUAACCAGGAAAAGGUCAAAGCUGGGGAUGGAGAUUGAAGAGUAGUCACUGUGGAGUUGAGGCUAGAGGUGAGAGAAGAUAGACCUGGGAAGUCAGGUCAGGUGAGGAAAGUGUGAUAGAAAACUGAAGGAAGGUGAACUUUUCAAGGAGUGGUUAGUGGAUGCCAGGGAUCAUGCUGCAGAGGACAGCAGGGAUGACGAGGCCAUGAAAGGAGUCAUGGGAUUUGGCAGUUGGGAGGUCGGCCUUUGACAGAGAAGUCAGAUGAAGGGGUCCAAGUCUAGAUAAGCCAAAAAGAGGUCGGGAGUGAGUGGAUGAUGGCAAGUAGAGGCAGCUGUUUUCUUUGGAGAAGGGUCAAGAAACUUUUCAGUGAGCUGUUUUACUUUUUGUCCUUGUGGAUUGGUCUGUUCUGAACACUUCACAGAAAUGGAAUAUGUGGCCUCCUUCCCUUAGCAUGGCUUUAUGGUUCAUCAGUGUUGCAGCAGAGUGUUCCCUUGUGUGGAUACAUCAUGUUUUAUUUGUCCAUUCAUCAGUUGACCAACAUUUAGGCUGUUUCUACUUUUGAACUGUUAUAAAUGAAGCUGCUGUGAACAUUUGUGGGCAGGAGUUUGUCUGGACAUAGCCUUUUGUUUCUCAUGUGUAGAUCCUCUACUUUUUUUUUAAUUUAAAAAAAAUUUUUUUUUGUUUUUAACAUUUAUUCACCUUUGAGAGACAGAGAGAGACAGAGCGUGAGCAGGGGAGGGACAGAGAGAGAGGGAGAUACAGAAUCAGAAGCAGGCUCCAGGCGCUGAGCUGUCAGCACAGAACCUGGCGCGGGGCUUGAACCCAUGAACGGCGAGACCAUGACCUGAGCCAAAGUCGGACACUUAACCGACUGAGCCACCCAGGCGCCCCAAUCCUCUACAUUUUUUGUUGCUGUUUGUAUUUUUCCUAGGCCCUGUAAUAAUACCGGUUAUUCCCUUGCUUAACUUUCUGUGUUCUCUCAAUGAAUUCUGCCCUAGUUCUUGUGACAGCAACUCUCAAUAUGAAGUUAGCUCCUUUUACCCCCUUGUCGCUCCCUCUUUUUUGCCCCAUCUGAUGUUUGUCUAGCUCCAGUGUCCCGCACUUAUCCUGGGAUUACCUUAGUCAUCACCCUGGGGAGUGAUAAUUGAAGCCACUGUUCCCUAGGUGGUAUUUUUUCACUCAUUUUGAUGGAGCACAUCCUCCAGCAGCUUCUUCAGAAAGAGUACAUUAGAAGUAAAUUUAGGGUGGGGGCGGGGGGCCUUGUCUGUCUUACAAUAUCUUUGUUCUACCCUCAUGUCAGUUUGAUAGUUUGGAUGAGUUUGGAAUUUUAGGUUGGACCUAAUUUUAUAUCAGAAGUUUGAUGGGGCUCCUAGGUGACUCAUCAGUUAAGCAUCUGUCUUCAGCUCGGUUCAUGAGUUUGAGCCUCUCAUCUGGCUCUCUGCUGUCAGCUCAGAGCCUGGAGGCUGCUUCAGAUUCUGUCUCCCUCUCUCUCUCUGCCCCUCCCCCACUCGCACUUGGUCAGUCUCUCUCUCCCUCUCUCUCUCUCUCUCUCUCUCUCUCAAAAAUAAAAACAUUAAAAGAAAUGAAAAAAGAAAAAGGCAUCGCCUAACUGUCUUCUAGCUUCUGCUCAUUGAGAUCUGAUACCAAUUGAUUCCCUUUCCUUCAUGUGCCAGCUGUUUUCUCCUCUGGAAGUUUGUAGGGUCUUGUCUUUAUCCUGGGUGUUCUGAAUUCCAUGGCAAUACACACUGAUGUGACUGAACUGUCAGUCGCUGUCUCUACUUCGUGGGCUCUGGUGGGGGUGGGGGUGGGGCUCACUGUGUCAGAUACCCGCAUUCAUGUGGUCCUCCUGCUGGUAGCCCACGCGGUGCCCCAGCCUGCGGAGGAACUUCCUUCCCGUUCGAAGCCUUUGGGUGGCACUGCCUGUCCUCGGCUGUCUUCUCCCUGCGGUCAGCUCCAUCUUUGAAAGAGACCCCGACACCAGCCGGCAGCGAAGGGGUACUCUGCAGAGGUGUUGUGUGAGCCCCCGGCCAGGGUGUCCGCGUCUGGUGGGAAGUUUGGAGUGGCCAACCCGGUGAGCCAGGGGUGAGUGUUGGGAGGGUGUGGCCAACACCCCACUGGGAGGUGAGGAGAGGUGUGGAAACCAAACACGAUUCUCCGGUGAGUCAUACUUGGGGAAACUGCUCAGUGAGGUAAAGCACAGAUCUACUUUUCUACCCCUGUGUAUAGCUUUUUCAAGACAAACUUUGUUUUGACACUUGAGUAUACAUCACUGUGGUUAAUGUCUGGGUUGAAAGUACAGCUGUUGCUCACAGCUUAUUUAGUUUCUACCCGGUUUUAGCUCCUGAUCUGCUCUCAUCCCAUUCCAUUUCCUGGGAUAUAAAGUUUUCUGGGGUCGCUCGCUCGAGCCACUGAACCAGUCUCCUUGGGUUUCUCCUCCCUCCCGGGUGUGUUUGGCUUUGCCCUUGACAAACACUCUCACUCACACCCUUUGGCCUAAUGUUCACUGAACAGUCUUUUCUGUUGUUCUCCUACUCAGCCCAUGUAUUGGCAUUUUUUAAAAAUAUAUUUUUGUAUUUGUCUCCACUGGAUCUCUUCUGUCCUCCAUUUCAUAGUUUAAAAAGUUCUUAAAAAACUUUAUUCAAAAAGCGCGUUCUGAUGAUCAAAUCGUCUGUCUGUAUCUCCUGGAUGCUGUCUGAGCUUGAUUAACACGUGCACGAAUUGUUACAACAUUUUCACUGACAGGUUGCUAGAUGUUGAAACAGUUGAGCUUUAAUAGACGGAUGAUCCAGCCUAACCCCCCACCCUUCAC